AGAUUCAGAUUACAGUCAAAUUUAGAUUUAUUUCAUGAAAUGCUUUGGAUUAACAUGAUUAACAUGCUGUGUUCUUUCUGCAGAUCAAGGAGACUUUUUUCCAUUUGAGAACACAAUAUUUCUGACCAGGUACAUGAAGAACCUACAGCAAAAAACACAACACAAUUCAAGCAUUUCCUGCUUAUAAAAGGCGAAUACAGAUGUCAGGAAAGACCCCUCUUCUAUGAACUGUUCCUGGCAAGUAAUGUGAUCAAAUGGCCAUCUAUAGAAUAUUCAUGAAGAUAUGAUGACAGGCAUUUGAACAUAUAUUAAGAAGAACAAUGAGUAAUAAAUAUCAAAGGACAGUUCCUAUUUUAAGCAAAUUGCUGAUUACCAAUGAGUUCUGUGAACUCUGGAUCCUAACAGAGAAUGGAAAUUCAGAAUGAAAAACACAGCAAGAAAACAAAUGCUGACCACCACACAGCCUGAGUGUCUGGAUGCCAGGGAUACUGUGAAACAGAUAUUUUGAGAUCUUCCUUGGUAUAUCAAACAGAGAAGCUCCAAAAGAGUCUAAUUACGUUAAAUCAUCCUAUCCUAUGUGGAUAUAGAGAUAGAAGCAAAAACCUUCUGCCACUCUGUUUUGCAAACCUGAUGCUGCUUUUUCCUUUGCUGAAAAUUUGCAUGUUUUCUCAGAGCCUGUUUCUUUCUCACAAUAAACAAUGCAAAGCCUUCCUGCCAAAAAAAUGUCCAAAUGCUAAA